rnacentral:rRNA from 1 species
ACACACUAUCAUUAACUGAAUCCAUAGGUUAAUGAGGCGAACCGGGGGAACUGAAACAUCUAAGUACCCCGAGGAAAAGAAAUCAACCGAGAUUCCCCCAGUAGCGGCGAGCGAACGGGGAGCAGCCCAGAGCCUGAAUCAGUGUGUGUGUUAGUGGAAGCGUCUGGAAAGGCGCGCGAUACAGGGUGACAGCCCCGUACACAAAAAUGCACAUGCUGUGAGCUCGAUGAGUAGGGCGGGACACGUGGUAUCCUGUCUGAAUAUGGGGGGACCAUCCUCCAAGGCUAAAUACUCCUGACUGACCGAUAGUGAACCAGUACCGUGAGGGAAAGGCGAAAAGAACCCCGGCGAGGGGAGUGAAAAAGAACCUGAAACCGUGUACGUACAAGCAGUGGGAGCACGCUUAGGCGUGUGACUGCGUACCUUUUGUAUAAUGGGUCAGCGACUUAUAUUCUGUAGCAAGGUUAACCGAAUAGGGGAGCCGAAGGGAAACCGAGUCUUAACUGGGCGUUAAGUUGCAGGGUAUAGACCCGAAACCCGGUGAUCUAGCCAUGGGCAGGUUGAAGGUUGGGUAACACUAACUGGAGGACCGAACCGACUAAUGUUGAAAAAUUAGCGGAUGACUUGUGGCUGGGGGUGAAAGGCCAAUCAAACCGGGAGAUAGCUGGUUCUCCCCGAAAGCUAUUUAGGUAGCGCCUCGUGAAUUCAUCUCCGGGGGUAGAGCACUGUUUCGGCAAGGGGGUCAUCCCGACUUACCAACCCGAUGCAAACUGCGAAUACCGGAGAAUGUUAUCACGGGAGACACACGGCGGGUGCUAACGUCCGUCGUGAAGAGGGAAACAACCCAGACCGCCAGCUAAGGUCCCAAAGUCAUGGUUAAGUGGGAAACGAUGUGGGAAGGCCCAGACAGCCAGGAUGUUGGCUUAGAAGCAGCCAUCAUUUAAAGAAAGCGUAAUAGCUCACUGGUCGAGUCGGCCUGCGCGGAAGAUGUAACGGGGCUAAACCAUG